AUGAACGCUAGCAGAACGCCUAACACAUGCAAGUCAAACGGCCAGCAAUGGCAGUGGCAAACGAGCGAGUAACGCGUACUUAACCUGCCCAGAAGUUGUGAACAACCAUAGAGAUAUGGCUAAUUCACGAUAAUCCCUAAUGAAUGAAAACAUUUAGGGCAAAGAUUUAUCGCUUUUGGAGGGGGGUGCGUCCUAUCAGGUAGUUGGUGAGGUAAUAGCUCACCAAGCCUAUGACGGGUAGCCGGUCUGAGAGGAUGUCCGGCCGCGAUGGAACUGAGACACGGUCCAUACUCCUACGGGAGGCAGCAGUGGGGAAUAUUGGACAAUGGACGAAAGUCUGAUCCAGCGAUUCUGCGUGGAGGAUGAAGCAUUACGGUGUGUAAACUCCUUUUCUGGUGGAAGACGAAUGACGGUACACCAGGAAUAAGCAUCGGCUAACUAUGUGCCAGCAGCCGCGGUAAUACAUAGGAUGCAAGCGUUAUCCGGAGUCACUGGGCGUAAAGGGUUCGCAGCCGGAUCUAUAAGUCUGUUUUCAAAUUCUUUCGCUCAACGAAAGGCAGGGAAUAGAUACUGUAGAUCUAGAGGUUUUUGGAGGGUAAUGGAAUUCCAGGUGGAGCGGUGAAAUGUGUUGAUAUCUGGAAGAAUGCCGAAAGCGAAAGCAGUUACCUACAAUUUACCUGACGGUCAGGAACGAAAGCUUGGGGAGCAAAUGGGAUUAGAUACCCCAGUAGUCCAAGCUGUAAAUUAUGUUCGCUAGGUGUCUUUGCUUUAUUGCAGGGGUGCCGCAACCUAACGGGUUAAGCGAACCGCCUGGGUAGUAUACUCGCAAGAGUGAAACUCAAAGGGAUAGGCGGGGGAACACACAAGCAGUGGAUGAUCUCGAU
rnacentral:rRNA from 1 species